GGAUGUGAGGACAAUCUGGCUUCCACAUCUAUCACCCCCAUUGAUCACCAGGGUUGAUUCAGAUGAUCUGGCUGGCUAAGAAAGUGUCCCUUUCCUCACUGCUCCAUGUGUGUCCCUCCCAAAGCUUCUUGCUCAAAGAGAACAAUCGUCCCUGAUAGAGGAGGAGCAUCUUUGGUCAAGGGUAUACAAGUAGCUGAGCUCCGCUGCUAGAACCUCCAAACAAGCUCUCAAAAACAGAACAAAGUCUGGGGUGUAGCUCAGCAGCAGAGAGCUUGCCUAGCAUGCAUGAGGUGGCAUUGGGUUCGAU
ensembl:misc_RNA 7SK 7SK RNA